GGGGACAUAGCUCAGCUGGGAGAGCACCUGCCUUGCACGCAGGGGGUCAGGAGUUCGAUCCUCCUUGUCUCCACCA
rnacentral:tRNA from 2 species